rnacentral:tRNA from 2 species
AGCCUUGUAUCUUAUUAAAGUUUUGAGUUGCAAACUCGAAUAAGGAUGAAUUUCCCUGGGCUU